UAGGGAAUCUUCCGCAAUGGGCGAAAGCCUGACGGAGCAACGCCGCGUGAGUGAUGAAGGUCUUCGGAUCGUAAAACUCUGUUAUUAGGGAAGAACAAAUGUGUAAGUAACUAUGCACGUCUUGACGGUACCUAAUCAGAAAGCCACGGCUAACUACGUGCCAGCAGCCGCGGUAAUACGUAGGUGGCAAGCGUUAUCCGGAAUUAUUGGGCGUAAAGCGCGCGUAGGCGGUUUUUUAAGUCUGAUGUGAAAGCCCACGGCUCAACCGUGGAGGGUCAUUGGAAACUGGAAAACUUGAGUGCAGAAGAGGAAAGUGGAAUUCCAUGUGUAGCGGUGAAAUGCGCAGAGAUAUGGAGGAACACCAGUAGCGAAGGCGACUUUCUGGUCUGUAACUGACGCGGAUGUGCGAAAGCGUGGGAAUCAAACAGG
rnacentral:rRNA from 1 species